rnacentral:lncRNA from 1 species
CGUAAAGAUGCUCAGAUGACCUUCUGGAGAGACAUGUUUAGUGAGGAACUGAGGCUUCCUGCCAAUGGCCAUGUGAGUGAGAGUUUGGAAUGGGAUCUUCCAGGCCUGCCCAGGAUCACUGCAGCCUCAUGAGAAGCCCUGAGGGAGGACCACCCAGGCAAGCCGCGCCCAGAUUCUCGACUCAGAAAUUGCAAAGAUGCCUUGCUGUCUCUCUGGCUCAGCCUUCCCACCAUCACUAAAGCUGCCAGUUAACCAGUCUUUGAGUGUGGCUUCAGGAAGACAGAGCUGCGUGGUGGACUGCUUCUUUGUGGAGCCCACUGCUUCUCCAUGUAACGUUUCAGCACUCUCUGCAGAGAGCACUUACAGCGCCCUGGAGCAGCUGUCCGAAACCGCCUUCACUCUGGCGGCGCAAGCCGGUUCCAGCUCUUCUCCAUUCCAUUCACUUCCUGAGACCAGAGAUCUGGUCUCCAGCCACUGGUUCUCUUCCAGGCUUAGAAAUCAACUUUCCGGGAGUGGAAGAAGAGACUGUCUCUUAGCUUUAAUUAAUUGUUGAAAGAAUAGAGAGGAGUCUAUAGUUCUAGAAGGAAAAAAGGGAGGAAUGGAAAUUUUCUGGACAGGGGACAAAGAAGUAAAAGAAAGAUAAUUUUCCAACUCACUCUCUUCACCCUAGUCUUUAAAAGGUUUUGUUGGGUGUUAUGAGGUUUGAAAUCUAUCUUUAGGGAGGGAUGUGUUACUCAAAAGAAAUUGCCUCUAGAUUGUUUUCCCAAGUCAGUCAUUUAAAAAAUAUUUUAAUGUCAUUCUGCUUAAAUUUUUUAAACAGUGAAGUUUAUCUGCAAAGUACUUCUCAACUCAGGGUAGGAUAGGGGUAAAUUUGAGGUAGUAAGUGUGUUAGAAUCUUGAGGUAGGUUUCCUUUGAAAAAAACAAGUAGGUAUCAUUUUUAUUGGGAAAAUGAAAAAAUGCGUAAGUUUUCACAUUACAAACUGAGGAGAGUUUGAAAAAACAUCUGAUGAGGUUAUGCAGAAGACACAGGGAUUCAUGAUUGGGACACAUCCCUUCAAAACCUUGGAGGAACAGGAGAUUUUCCUGGUUAUCAAAUAGGGGGAUGAGUUUUAGAAGGCUGAAAAGCAUUUAGAAGAAUGUUGCGUUUCCUAAAAAGGCAGAAUGAGGAAGCUGGUAGACGAUUCCAGAACAUUCUGUGGGUCUCAUGAAGAGAAGAUUCAGGGAAGGGCAGGCGGCAAGUCCAAGGUCAGGAAAGAUGAGAGACGCAAAAUGGACCUGUAACUGCAAAGGUUCCAUUGUCUUCUGAGUUUCUGUUUAUAAUUCUGCAGUGAGUAAUUUUAAGAAGGAAAAAAUCCCCAUAGAACUGAACACAUACAGCUGAAAACUUAUGAAUGGCAAAAAGAUAUCAAAACAAAAUCAAAUAACACAUGUAUCAAAGGAAUGAUUUCCUUAGUAGAAAACAUUUUUAAAAUUAUAUAUAAUUUUGAUAUUUUUGUUCAUCAAAAGAUGAACAACCCCAAAGAAAAAAUGGGCAAAGAAUGUUAUUAGCAGGAUGUUCAAAGAAAAAAUAAAUACACAUGGUCAACAACUAUAGGAAACAUGCUUAUAAGAUUUACUUUUCACCCAUCAGAUUAGCAAAGGUUAAAAAUGUUCAUUGACCCAGGGUUGUCAAGAAUGUGGGGUGCUCUCACCCACUGUAGGUGGGAGAGUGAGUUAUCAGAUUUCUUGAAAGACAAACAGCAAUGUCUUAGUAAAUAUGCAUAUCUUUUAACCCAGUUAAAUUAUAUGUAUCAAGGCAAAACAUUUGCGUAUGUGAGCAAAGCAUGUGUACGAGGCUAUUUCACUGCAGCUUUUUCAUUAUGGAAAAGUGGAAACUACUAAAUGUGCAUCAAUAGAGGACUAAAUAAAUUAUGAAAUGUCCACUAAAUGGGCUCUGAUAUAGCUGUUGAAAAUAACGCGCCAGAUCCAUAUGUAUUG